CAUUUGCAGCAGUUGGUGUCUUUGGACAACAAGGAGACAUUUUCUCUUGAGGAUCCAUCUCAGUAUCAGACAGAUUGAAAGAAAAUGUUGAUCCUGUCCUAGGUUGUACUGUUAGAAUUCUUUAUUCUUCAUGCAAGUCACAGGUACCUGAAGAGCUUUCUCAUGGCAGCCUGUACUGCAAUGUUAACCUGCUGAUUAUUUCUUUAAAACAGUCUUUCAUACUGUGUACUGGUUGUCCUGAUAAGAUGUUCCUAAAGAAAUAAUAUUUGUGGUUGGUAUAUGGAGUAGCCUAAUUUGCAACUGUUUCUGCUGCAGAUACAUGGUAGGCCUUCCUUAGUCCAAUUGGCAAAGACAAAGAAGUGCAUAAUUGUCUAGGCUGAUUCUGCCUGCUGAUCAUUACUUUGAGCUGGUCUUGGGUCUCCCUUUCAUCUAAGAUGUGGACUUACAGGAACCUCUGUGCAUGUGACCAAACCUUAUUGCAUCAAAAAUGUACUUUUAUCACAGGAAAACAUCGUCACUAGCCAUGCCUCCUGGUAGUCUACAGUGUUAUGCUGCCACAUGCUGUCAUGUUCCAUUGGUAAGUUGUGACUUCAAAAAAGGUUGUCCUGGCUGAUAGAGAAUUAAAACAGUGCUUG